UGCAAGUCGAACGAACUCUGGUAUUGAUUGGUGCUUGCAUCAUGAUUUACAUUUGAGUGAGUGGCGAACUGGUGAGUAACACGUGGGAAACCUGCCCAGAAGCGGGGGAUAACACCUGGAAACAGAUGCUAAUACCGCAUAACAACUUGGACCGCAUGGUCCGAGUUUGAAAGAUGGCUUCGGCUAUCACUUUUGGAUGGUCCCGCGGCGUAUUAGCUAGAUGGUGGGGUAACGGCUCACCAUGGCAAUGAUACGUAGCCGACCUGAGAGGGUAAUCGGCCACAUUGGGACUGAGACACGGCCCAAACUCCUACGGGAGGCAGCAGUAGGGAAUCUUCCACAAUGGACGAAAGUCUGAUGGAGCAACGCCGCGUGAGUGAAGAAGGGUUUCGGCUCGUAAAACUCUGUUGUUAAAGAAGAACAUAUCUGAGAGUAACUGUUCAGGUAUUGACGGUAUUUAACCAGAAAGCCACGGCUAACUACGUGCCAGCAGCCGCGGUAAUACGUAGGUGGCAAGCGUUGUCCGGAUUUAUUGGGCGUAAAGCGAGCGCAGGCGGUUUUUUAAGUCUGAUGUGAAAGCCUUCGGCUCAACCGAAGAAGUGCAUCGGAAACUGGGAAACUUGAGUGCAGAAGAGGACAGUGGAACUCCAUGUGUAGCGGUGAAAUGCGUAGAUAUAUGGAAGAACACCAGUGGCGAAGGCGGCUGUCUGGUCUGUAACUGACGCUGAGGCUCGAAAGUAUGGGUAGCAAACAGGAUUAGAUACCCUGGUAGUCCAUACCGUAAACGAUGAAUGCUAAGUGUUGGAGGGUUUCCGCCCUUCAGUGCUGCAGCUAACGCAUUAAGCAUUCCGCCUGGGGAGUACGGCCGCAAGGCUGAAACUCAAAGGAAUUGACGGGGGCCCGCACAAGCGGUGGAGCAUGUGGUUUAAUUCGAAGCUACGCGAAGAACCUUACCAGGUCUUGACAUACUAUGCAAAUCUAAGAGAUUAGACGUUCCCUUCGGGGACAUGGAUACAGGUGGUGCAUGGUUGUCGUCAGCUCGUGUCGUGAGAUGUUGGGUUAAGUCCCGCAACGAGCGCAACCCUUAUUAUCAGUUGCCAGCAUUAAGUUGGGCACUCUGGUGAGACUGCCGGUGACAAACCGGAGGAAGGUGGGGAUGACGUCAAAUCAUCAUGCCCCUUAUGACCUGGGCUACACACGUGCUACAAUGGAUGGUACAACGAGUUGCGAACUCGCGAGAGUAAGCUAAUCUCUUAAAGCCAUUCUCAGUUCGGAUUGUAGGCUGCAACUCGCCUACAUGAAGUCGGAAUCGCUAGUAAUCGCGGAUCAGCAUGCCGCGGUGAAUACGUUCCCGGGCCUUGUACACACCGCCCGUCACACCAUGAGAGUUUGUAACACCCAAAGUCGGUGGGGUA
rnacentral:rRNA from 2 species